rnacentral:lncRNA from 1 species
AGGAUACCACUUCGUUAACGUUUAUUACCUGAACUUUAUAUUACACAAGCUAGAUGAAUAUAACACGUAAAAAUAUGUGUAAAUAAUAUAGAGUUGGUAACUUCUAACCUUAAGGUAUAAAAAACGUGGGGAAAUGGGUGUUCUAAACAUUCAUUUUUAAUUUUAAAACAUACUAGAACUGGACCCGAGCGUCCGCUCGGGUUUUUGAUUUAACUUUUACAUAGAUU